rnacentral:rRNA from 1 species
CAAGGGAGCCAGCCGCCGAAGGUGGGGCAAGUGAUUGGGGUGAAGUCGUAACAAGGUAGCCGUACCGGAAGGUGCGGCUGGAUCACCUCCUUUCUAAGGGGA